rnacentral:rRNA from 1 species
GACGAACGCUGGCGGCGGGCCUAACACAUGCAAGUCGAGCGGAGCGGCGGACGGGUGAGGAAUACCUAGGAAUCUGCCUGGUAGUGGGGGAUAACGUUCGGAAACGGACGCUAAUACCACAUACUAACAGAUGAGCAUAGGUCGGAUUAGCUAGUUGGUGAUGGAAUGGCUCACCAAGGCUACGCUGCGUAACUGGUCUGAGAGGAUGAUCAGUCACACGGGACCUGCGACGCGGUCCAGACUUCUAUGAGAGGCAGCGGUGGGGAAUAUUGGACGAUGGGCGAACGCCUGGUCGCGCCACGCCGCGUGUGUGAAUAAGGUCUUCGGAUUGUAGAGCACUUUAAGUUGGGAGUCGUUACCGACAGAAUAAGCACCGACUAACUCUGUGCCAGCCGCCGCGGUAAUUC